UGAACGCUAGCUACAGGCUUAACACAUGCAAGUCGAGGGGCAGCAUGGUCUUAGCUUGCUAAGGCCGAUGGCGACCGGCGCACGGGUGAGUAACACGUAUCCAACCUGCCGUCUACUCUUGGACAGCCUUCUGAAAGGAAGAUUAAUACAAGAUGGCAUCAUGAGUCCGCAUGUUCACAUGAUUAAAGGUAUUCCGGUAGACGAUGGGGGUGCGUUCCAUUAGAUAGUAGGCGGGGUAACGGCCCACCUAGUCUUCGAUGGAUAGGGGUUCUGAGAGGAAGGUCCCCCACAUUGGAACUGAGACACGGUCCAAACUCCUACGGGAGGCAGCAGUGAGGAAUAUUGGUCAAUGGGCGAGAGCCUGAACCAGCCAAGUAGCGUGAAGGAUGACUGCCCUAUGGGUUGUAAACUUCUUUUAUAAAGGAAUAAAGUCGGGUAUGCAUACCCGUUUGCAUGUACUUUAUGAAUAAGGAUCGGCUAACUCCGUGCCAGCAGCCGCGGUAAUACGGAGGAUCCGAGCGUUAUCCGGAUUUAUUGGGUUUAAAGGGAGCGUAGAUGGAUGUUUAAGUCAGUUGUGAAAGUUUGCGGCUCAACCGUAAAAUUGCAGUUGAUACUGGAUAUCUUGAGUGCAGUUGAGGCAGGCGGAAUUCGUGGUGUAGCGGUGAAAUGCUUAGAUAUCACGAAGAACUCCGAUUGCGAAGGCAGCCUGCUAAGCUGCAACUGACAUUGAGGCUCGAAAGUGCGGGUAUCAAACAGGAUUAGAUACCCUGGUAGUCCACACGGUAAACGAUGAAUACUCGCUGCUUGCGAUAUACGGCAAGCGGCCAAGCGAAAGCGUUAAGUAUUCCACCUGGGGAGUACGCCGGCAACGGUGAAACUCAAAGGAAUUGACGGGGGCCCGCACAAGCGGAGGAACAUGUGGUUUAAUUCGAUGAUACGCGAGGAACCUUACCCGGGCUUAAAUUGCAGAUGAAUUACGGUGAAAGCCGUAAGCCGCAAGGCAUCUGUGAAGGUGCUGCAUGGUUGUCGUCAGCUCGUGCCGUGAGGUGUCGGCUUAAGUGCCAUAACGAGCGCAACCCUUGUUGUCAGUUACUGACAGGUUCCGCUGAGGACUCUGACAAGACUGCCAUCGUAAGAUGUGAGGAAGGUGGGGAUGACGUCAAAUCAGCACGGCCCUUACGUCCGGGGCUACACACGUGUUACAAUGGGGGGUACAGAGGGCCGCUACCACGCGAGUGGAUGCCAAUCCCCAAAACCUCUCUCAGUUCGGACUGGAGUCUGCAACCCGACUCCACGAAGCUGGAUUCGCUAGUAAUCGCGCAUCAGCCACGGCGCGGUGAAUACGUUCCCGGGCCUUGUACACACCGCCCGUCAAGCCAUGGGAGCCGGGGGUACCUGAAGUGCGUAACCGCGAGGAGCGCCCUAGGGUAAAACUGGUGACUGGGGCUAAG
rnacentral:rRNA from 1 species